AAAAGUGUGGGGUAGUGGUUUGAGUGUCAGACUACAGCUCUGGAGGUCAGUGUUCGAUUCCCAGUUCGGCUA